rnacentral:rRNA from 1 species
GACGAACGCUGGCGGCGUGCUUAACACAUGCAAGUCGAACGGAAAGGCGCUGCUUUUGUGGGGUGCUCGAGUGGCGAACGGGUGAGUAACACGUGAGUAACCUGCCCUUGACUUUGGGAUAACUUCAGGAAACUGGGGCUAAUACCGGAUAGGAGCUCCUGCUGCAUGGUGGGGGUUGGAAAGUUUCGGCGGUUGGGGAUGGACUCGCGGCUUAUCAGCUUGUUGGUGAGGUAGUGGCUUACCAAGGCUUUGACGGGUAGCCGGCCUGAGAGGGUGACCGGCCACAUUGGGCCUACGAUACGCCGCAGACUCCUACCGGACGCAGCAGUGGGGAAUAUUGCACAAUGGGCGGACGCCUGAUGCAGCAACGCCGCGUGCGGGAUGACGGCCUUCGGGUUGUAAACCGCUUUCGCCUGUGACGAAGCGUGAGUGACGGUAAUGGGUAAAGAAGCACCGGCUAACUACGUG